rnacentral:rRNA from 1 species
AUUGAACGCUGGCGGAAUGCUUUACACAUGCAAGUCGAACGGCAGCACGGGGGCAACCCUGGUGGCGAGUGGCGAACGGGUGAGUAAUACAUCGGAACGUGCCCAGUCGUGGGGGAUAACGUAGCGAAAGUUACGCUAAUACCGCAUACGAUCUACGGAUGGAAGCGGGGACCGUAAGGCCUCGCGCGAUUGGAGCGGCCGAUGUCAGAUUAGGUAGUUGGUGAGGUAAAGGCUCACCAAGCCGACGAUCUGUAGCUGGUCUGAGAGGACGACCAGCCACACGGGGACUGAGACACGGCCCAGACUCCUACGGGAGGCAGCAGUGGGGAAUGUUGGACAAUGGGCGCAAGCCUGAUCCAGCCAUUCCGCGUGCAGGUCGAAGGCCUUCGGGUUGUAAACUGCUUUUGUACGGAACGAAAAGGCUCUGGUUAAUACCUGGGGCUCAUGACGGUACCGUAAGAAUAAGCACCGGCUAACUACGUGCCAGCAGCCGCGGUAA